GAUGAACGCUGGCGGCGCGCCUAACACAUGCAAGUCGAACGAUUAAAGCACCUUCGGGUGUGUAUAAAGUGGCGAACGGCUGAGUAACACGUGGGCAACCUGCCCCUCUCAUUGGGAUAGCCACGGGAAACCGUGGAUAAUACCGAAUACUUCGGGACUUCCGCAUGGAAGACUCGAGAAAGCUCCGGCGGAGUGGGAUGGGCCCGCGGCCUGUUAGCUUGUUGGUGGGGUAAUGGCCUACCAAGGCAAUGAUGGGUAGCUGGGUUGAGAGACCGACCAGCCAGAUUGGGACUGAGACACGGCCCAGACUCCUACGGGAGGCAGCAGUGGGGAAUCUUGCACAAUGGGCGAAAGCCUGAUGCAGCGACGCCGCGUGCGGGAUGAAGGCCUUCGGGUUGUAAACCGCUUUCAGCAGGGACGAGGCGAAAGUGACGGUACCUGCAGAAGAAGCCCCGGCUAACUACGUG
rnacentral:rRNA from 1 species